rnacentral:rRNA from 1 species
AAGGUGGGCACUCUAAGGAGACUGCCGGUGACAAACCGGAGGAAGGUGGGGAUGACGUCAAGUCAUCAUGGCCCUUACGGCCUGGGCUACACACGUGCUACAAUGGUCGGUACAAAGGGUUGCCAAGCCGCGAGGUGGAGCUAAUCCCAUAAAACCGAUCGUAGUCCGGAUCGCAGUCUGCAACUCGACUGCGUGAAGUCGGAAUCGCUAGUAAUCGUGAAUCAGAAUGUCACGGUGAAUACGUUCCCGGGCCUUGUACACACCGCCCGU